rnacentral:rRNA from 1 species
GUCUUUUUGAUUUAUAUAUAAAGUCUGACCUGCCCACUGAAAAUUUUAAAUGGCUGCAGUAAUUUGACUGUACAAAGGUAGCAUAAUCAUUAGUUUUUUAAUUAAAAGCUUGUAUGAAAGGUUGGACGAAGUAAAAUCUGUCUCUUUUUAAUAUAAUUAGAAUUUAAUUUUUAAGUAAAAAAGCUUAAAUUUUUAUAAAAGACGAGAAGACCCUAUAGAGUUUAAUAAUUUUAAUAAAAUAUUUAAUUAAGAUUUAUUAAUUUUAUUUAAUUAAAAUUAUUUUAUUGGGGUAAUAAAAAGAUUAAAAAAAUUCUUUUUUUUUAAUACAUUAAUUUAUGAAUAUAUGAUCCAUUUGUAGUGAUUAGAAGAUUAAAUUACCUUAGGGAUAACAGCGUAAUUUUUUUAAAGAGUUCUUAUCGAUAAAAAAGUUUGCGACCUCGAUGUUGGAUUAAAGAUUAAUUUAGGUGUAGAAGUUUAAAUUUUUGGUCUGUUCGACCAUUAAAUCUUUACAUGAUCUGAGUUCAAACCGGUGUAAGCCAGGUUGGUUUCUAUCUUUAUUAAUUUUUUAUAUUUUAGUACGAAAGGACCAAAUAUAAAAUAUAUAAAUAUUUUUAUUUUGAAUAUUAUUAAAUUAGUUAUUUUGGCAGAUUAGUGUAAUGAAUUUAGAAUUCAUUUAUGUAAAUAUUUUACAAAUAAUACUUGUUUAUAAAAGAUAUAAUUAUUUCUUUUAUUUUAAUUAUUUUAUUAAUUAUUUGUGUUUUAGUAGGUGUAGCUUUUUUAACUUUAUUAGAA